UCUCAGUUCAAAGCCCCUCCCUCUUUGCUUUCCAACUCAAAGAAGAAAACUCUGUUUCCAGACAGGGUGCUCAGAAGACCCACACAGGCUAAACCUACGUGACACCAAAACAACUGCAUGGAAUGUAUAGGGAAGAAGCAGAUGUUUCUCCUUUGGGACAGCAGGUGCCUUAGCAAAGCCUUAGGGCUCAAGCCAGAAGAGGAAAGAAGAAAAGGGUUCCUUCUGUGAUCCUAGAAACGACAUUCUGCCAAGUCCUUUAAUUUCAUUGUGACAAAGGUCUCCACAUUCCACACCACCACCUUCUAGGGGAAGGGACUGUCCCAUGGAAGAAGGUCUAUAUGAAUGACCUUCUGCUAACACCCAAGGGGAAUUGGUCUGUAGGGGCACUCUAAAAACAGCACCCAGCUCCCCUCUUGCACCCCAUCUUCUACCUGAUAAGAGACAGGGAGUACAUCCCAUCCCAUCAGUAAGGAAAUUUGCAGUGUUAAGCAAUGCCUUUCAGGCCCCGAGCUUGCCACACGAAGAAUUUCUUCCCUGGAACCAUACAGUAGCCCGAGACAGAAGUGAAGGCUUCCUUUCAGAUUGGAGGUUUGAAGAGAAAGAUAGGAUUCAGACACAGAGAGCUAAAGCACAGGUGAUCCAAUCUGCCUUCUCCGGGUUCCCCAGCUUUUUAGCUCCCUGGGUUAGAAGUUUAUAGGGAUUCUGGAUCUGUGGUUUCCUAUGGUCGCUUUUACAGAUCUUGUUAAUUUAUUACCCAUGGUUACACUUUUAAUGGAAAUCAUGAAGAAAUGGCAAAGGAAACAUGAGCUAAUUUUUUUUUCCAGUGACACAUUUCACUGCUAUUUAAAUAGCCAUUUUGCCAAACCAAACACAGCUCUUACAGCCAGCGGUGACACAUAAAGGGGAUCACUGUGGCUGACUGGGCCUGUGGCCUCCAGAGCAGGCGAGACUUUCUCUCAGCUUCCCCAGGGAUGGAUGCCAAAGAGGGUGGAGUGACCCAGAGUCAGUGACCACUGCCUCCACCUUCCUCAGGCAAGGUUGAGGGUCCACUCCUGAUCCCCUGAGAGGUUCUGGGGUGACCAUGCCCCCUCUUCAGCCUUGAUAACCCCUCCCCUCGCCGCCCCAAGCGCUGUGGCUGAGCAGCCCCGCAGUACAGCAGAAUUUGCUCACGCCUAUAACUGGGAACAUUACUGGGUUGUAUGAAACCAGAGAGAGAUGCUGGGGAAACCCAGGCUCACUUCAUUCCAGUUCUGUGGCAGCCGUGACAGCCUUGCUGUGGCCACACUUGCACAGGGCUCCUUUGUUGGGCAAACCAGAGCCUCUGCCUUCUCCUACUCAAAACAACCUCUAACUUGGGCCUCUGAUACCCUCCCACCCUACUUUAGGGGAGUGGGUGCGGGGGAUGUGAUGUCACCAAGCGUUUAUUAACUUCUCAAGAAGCUGGCUGAGAUCAUGGUACUUAGUGAGAGGGAUUCCAGGACUUGGGGUGCUGUAGCAGAGAGAACAAAUCCAUUGAGUUUCUGGCCAUGACUGGAUAAAAGAACAGGAAUGAUGGCCAGAUGCUCGAAGAGCAACAGUUAGAACCUCCCAGAUUAUAAUAUGCAGUUCGAGUAAGGGAAGCCAAGGGGCUGAGAGUAUGCUUUGGAGACCUAAAGUCAGUUGCCUAAGUUCGGGGGAUCCACCAGAACCCAGUGACAUCCCCAUUGUCUCUAGUCGGGAAAGGCACUCCAAGAAGGGGCCAUAGAAAAGCAAACAACUUUCUGGAGGGAGCCAGCCACUCAAGACAGCACAAUCCUGAAUGGAUUUCUGCCCCACUCUGGCUGCAGAAAAAUCUGGCUAUUUCUUGGAGGCGUUCUGUGCCUUCAUGUCCUGAUGGGUGUCCAGGUGGGCACAGCAGAGAACAGCUAUGCCAGAAUACAGGCAGCAGGCACACUGGCAUGUCAGGGGAAAGCAGUUUCCCUCCGUUUUCCCAAGGAGAACCCCACUUCAGUGAGACUUGAGAGAAGUUAACUGUCAUCCCCUUCCUUGCCAAAAAAGAAUAUUAAAUUCACUGACCACAUUUUUCCAAACCGAAGUGCGGAGGCCAUUAGAUCAAUGCUCAGGCUUGGGCUCUAGUAUGCCAGGCACCCCACACGUUUCACUUUGCAUUAUUAACAUUUAAACCAAAGCAGCUGUGCUCAGCCCUCUUAGAGCCCAGAACCUGCCCAAGGCCCCCACGGUGACUUUUCUCAGGGGCCAAAUGCACCAGCUAGCCAGCCCACCAGUGACCCCAUGCCUUUGGCCUUCUGGAGUAAAUUUCUCCAGUAGCCAGCCACUCCUUGAUGACAUUUCUGAGAGUUCUUUUGAGCCAGGGGGACUGUUGGUGGAUCCUGAUCAAGCGUGCCUGAAAGUCCUCAAGGGAACUAACAGGGUUUACGGCCACCGAACUGUGUCUGUUGCUGGCAGCUGGCUCUCUGGGCUGCUUGAGUCGAGCCACCAUGCCUAUCCGCGCUCUGUGCACUAUCUGCUCCGACUUCUUUGGUCACUCCCGUGAUGUGGCUGCCAUCCACUGCGGCCACACUUUUCAUCUGCAAUGCCUAAUCCAGUGGUUUGAGACAGCACCAAGUCGGACCUGCCCACAGUGUAGAAUCCAGGUUGGCAAAAAGACUAUUAUCAACAAGCUUUUCUUUGACCUGGCUCAGGAAGAGGAGAGUGUCUUGGAUGCAGAAUUCUUAAAGAACAAACUGGACAGUAUCAGAGCCCAGCUUUCCCAGAAAGACAGGGAGAAACGGGACAGCCAGGCCAUUAUCGACACUCUACGGGACACGUUGGAAGAAUGCAAUGCCACUGUGGAGUCCCUGCAGAACGCCUUAAACAAGGCAGAGAUGCUAUGUUCCACCCUGAAAAAACAGAUGAAGUUCCCGGAGCAGCAGCAGGAUGAGACCAAACAAGCUCGGGAAGAGGUCCACCAACUCAAGAGCAAGAUGAAAACCAUGGAGCAAAUUGAGCUCCUACUCCAGAGCCAGCGGUCUGAGGUGGAAGAGAUGAUUCGAGACAUGGGUGUGGGACAGUCUGCAGUGGAGCAGCUGGCUGUGUACUGCGUGUGCCUCAGGAAAGAGUAUGAGAAUCUGAAGGAAGCUUGGAAGGCCUCAGGGGAGCUGGCUGACAGGUUGAAGAAGGAUUUGGCAUCCUAUAAGAGCGAGUUGAAGACUCUCAACACUAAGCUGGAUCAGACCAAGUUAGAACUGAAGUCAGCCCAGAAGGACUUACAGAGCGCUGACAAGGAGAUCACCAGCCUAAGAAAGAAGCUAAUUAUCCUGCAGGAAACCUUGAGCCUGCCUCCAGUGACCAGUGAGACAGUCAGCUGCCUGGUUUUUGAGAGCCCAGCCCCUGUGGAGACGCUAACACCAAGGCUUCACCGGCCUCCCUUUAGUGACGAGAUUGAUCUCAAUGCUACCUUUGACGUCAGUACCUCUCCAGCCCAGACCUCCAGCUCCCAGCAUUGCUUCCCCAAGAAGCCCUACCUGGACAGGGCACACUCUCCCGUGCAGGACAUUCUCAAGAAGGUGCCCAAAGUCUCCAAGCUGGAGUCCCAGCUCUCACUGGGUGGCCAGCGAUGUAUAGGAGAGCCAGAUGAGGAACUGUCUGGUGCCUUCCCUCUCUUCAUCCGGAGUGCUCUCCGGGGUCAGAAACAGCCCAACAGGACCACAGCAGAAUCCCGUUGCAGCACAGAUGUGGUAAGAAUAGGCUUCGAUGGGCUUGGAGGAUGUACAAAAUUCAUCCAGCCUAGGGACACAGCCAUUAUCCAACCAAUGCUUGUUAAGCCCAAGGCCAAGAGUAAACAGAAAGUGAGAAUAAAGACUGUGAAUUCUACCUCCCAGCCCAAGCUGGAUACCUUCUUAUGUCAGUGAACAGUGACCAGAGUUGUGUCUGCAGUUAGUGAGCCAAGACCUGGCCAACCGGAAGUGUUUUGGAAGAUGGCUUCUCUUGGACCAGACAAAGAGUGGUGCCCAGGAAACACACUUCCUGUGUUCACGGCACCCUGCACCAUACUUGGAAACCACGUGAGCAGCUUACCCUUCCGAUCAGCAGGACCUGCUUCCAGUUGCAGGGUUUUAUUUAUAGCUACAACCAGGUGUGUGGCUGGGCUCCUUCUGUUUUUAUCGAACAGGGUCACAUUGACUCUAAGUGGAUGGAAAUGCUGGAGGAUUCCUGAGCAGGCUAGCUUGAACUUCUGCCUGCCUCCAGCUUAUUGCUUGAAAUAUGGGAGUGGGGAGGUGAUAGGAAAAGGAUGGGGAAGUUUUCUGUAUAAAAUAAAAAGGCGUCUUUUCUUC